rnacentral:rRNA from 1 species
GUCUUAUUGAUGAUAAUUUUAAGUCUAAUCUGCCCAAUGAAUUAUUAAAUGGCUGCAGUAUUUUAACUGUACAAAGGUAGCAUAAUAAUUAGUUUCUUAAUUAGGAACUGGAAUGAAUGAUUGAACGAGAUAAUAACUGUCUCAAUUUUAAUUAAAGAAUUUUAUUUCUAAGUAAAAAAGCUUAGAUUUUUUUAAAAGACGAGAAGACCCUAUAGAAUUUUAUAUAAUUUGAUUAAUAAUAGUUUUAGAAAAAAUUACUGUUAUUUUAUUAAAUUUAUUUAGUUGGGGUGAUUGAAAAAUUUAUUUAACUUUUUUUGAGACUUUAUAUUAAUUUAUAUUUUUAAUGAUCCAAUAUUUUUGAUUAUAAGAUUAAAUUACCUUAGGGAUAACAGCGUAAUUUUUUUAGAGAGUUCUUAUCGAUAAAAGAGAUUGCGACCUCGAUGUUGGAUUAAAGUUAAUUUUUAAUGUAGAAGUUAAAAUAUUAGGUCUGUUCGACCUUUAAAUCUUUACAUGAUCUGAGUUUAAAUCGGCGUGAGCCAGGUUGGAUUCUAUCUUUAAUAAUUUUUGAUAUUUUAGUACGAAAGGACCAAAUAUUUAUUAUAAUAAUUUGUUUAGAAUAAUA